CUGAGUAAGAAAUAUUUAUUUAUGUAUUACUCACCUACUUGACAGAGAAGAAAGAACAAGAAAACUUGAAAGCCAACCUAUGUGGUCAUCAGGGAAAUGCAAAUCAAAACCACAAUGAGACAGCUCAUCAUACACACUAGGAUGGCUCUAAUGACAAAGACAGACAAUGACAAGUGUUGGCUCGGAUGUGCAGAAACUGGAGUACUCUUACAUUGUUUGUGGGAUGGUGCAAUGGUGCAGGUGCUUUGAAAAGCAGCCUGGCGGAUCCUUCAAUGGUUAAACAUAGAGUUAUCAUAUGACCCAGCCAUUCCCCUCCCGGGUAUUUACCCAAAAAAUUGAAGACAAGUACUCAGACAAGUACGUACAUAGAAGUCCUAACUGUAUGCUAAGUGCUAAGCAUUAUUCAUGGUAGUCACACAGUGGAAAGAACCCAAUGCCCAUCAACAGGUGUGUGGGUAAACAAAAUGUGGUCUACCCAUAUAAUGGAAUGUCAUUCGGCCAUCAAAAAGAAUGAAAUUCUGAUGCAUGGUACAGAAUCAAUGGACCUCAAAAAUAUUAUGCUGAGUGAAAGAAGCCAGGCACAAAACCACAUGGGAUGCCAUUUGUUUGAAAUGCCCCUGAUAGGCAAAUCCAUGGAUACGAAGUAGAUUUGUGAGUGGCUGCAUAGGGCUAGAGCAGAUGGCAGGAUGGUGGUGAUGAACCAGGGAAUGUUGCAACUAUCCUUAUGAACCAGGAAGUGCUACAGUUACCUGGAUGAACAAGGAAGUGUGGCAAUGUCCCUAUGAACCAGGAAGUGCUAUAAUUAUUCGUAUGAACCAGAGAGUUGCAAAUGUCUUUAUGAACCAGGAAGUUCUACAGUUAUCCAUAUGAACCAGAAUGUGCUGCAGUGUCACUAUGACCCAGGAAGUGUCACAAUGUCCCUGCAAACCAGGAAGUACAAUUAUCUGUAUGAACCAGGAAAUGCCACAACUAUCUGUAUUAACCUCGAAAUGUUACAGCGUCUCCAUAAACCAGGAAGUGCUGCAAUUAGACAUAUGAACCAGAAAGUGUUACAAUGCCCCUACAAACCAGGAAGUUCUACAAUUAUCCGAAUGAACCAGGAAGUGUUGCAAUGUCCCUGUGAACCAGGAAGUGCUACUAUUAUCCAUAUGAACCAGGAAGUGCUACAAUUAUCCAUAUAAACCAGAAAGUGUUGCAAUAUCCUUAUGAACCAGGAAGUGCUAGAACUAUCUGGAUGAACCAGGAAGUGUGGCAAUGUCCCUAUGAACCAGUAAGUGAUACAAUUAUCCAUAUGAAUCAGGAAGUGUGGCAAUGUCCCUAUGAACCAGGAAGUGCUACAAUUAUUCCUAUGGACCAGAGGGUUGCAAAUGUCUUUAUAAACCAGGAAGUUCUACAAUUAUCCAUAUGAACCAGAAAGUGUUACAGUGUCACUAUGACCCAGGAAGCAUCACAAUGUCCCUGCAAACUAUGAAGUACUACAAUUAUCCGUAUGAACCAUGAAGUGUUACAAUGUUCCUAUGAACCAGGAAGUGCUACAACUAUCCGGAUGAACCAGGAAGUGUGGCAACUAUCCAGAUGAACCAGGAAGUGUGGCAAUGUCACUAUGAACCAGUAAGUGAUACAAUUAUCCAUAUGAAUCAGGAAGUGUGGCGAUGUCACUAUGAACCAGAAAGUGAUACAAUUAUCCAUAUGAAUCAGGAAGUAUGGCAAUGUCAUUAUGAACCAGAAAAUGUCACACUUUCCCUAUGAACCAGGAAGUGCUACAAUUAUCCGGAUGAACCAGGAAGUGUGGCAAUGUCCCUAUGAACCAGGAAGUGCUACAGUUAUUCCUAUGAACCAGAGGGUUGCAAAUGUCUUUAUGAAGCAGGAAGUUCUACAAUUAUCCAUAUGAACCAGAAAGUGUUGUAGUGUCACUAUGACCCAGGAAGCAUCACAAUGUCCCUGCAAACCAGGAAGUACUACAAUUAUCCGUAUGAACCAGCAAGUGUGGCAAUGUCCCUAUGAACCAGGAAGUGCUACAAUUAUUCCUAUGAACCAGAGGGUUGCAAAUGUCUUUAUGAACCAGGAAGUUCUAUAAUUAUCCAUAUGAACCAGAAAGUGUUGUAGUGUCACUAUGAACCAGGAAGCGUCACAAUGUCCCUGCAAACCAGGAAGUACUACAAUUAUCUGUAUGAACCAGGAAGUGUUACAAUGUCCCUAUGAACCAGGAAGUGCUACAAAUAUCCGGAUGAACCAGGAAGUGUUAUAAUGUCCCUAUGAACCAAGAAGUGCUAAAAUUAUCCAUAUGAACCUUGAAAUGUUACAAUGUCCCUAUGAACCAGGAAGUGUCACACUUUCCCUAUGAACCAGGAAGUGCUACAAUUAUCCACAUGAAUCAGGAAGUGCAGCAAUGUCACUAUGAACCAGAAAGUGUCACACUUGCCCUAUGAACCAGGAAGUGCUACAAUUAUCCAGAUGAACCAGGAAGUGUAGCAAUGUCCCUGUGAACCAGGAAGUGCUACAACUAUCCGGAUGUACCAGGAAGUGUGGCAGUGUUCCUAUGAACCAGUAAGUGAUACAAUUAUCAACAUGAAUCAGGAAGUGUGGCAAUGUCACUAUGAACCAGAAAGUGUCACGCUUUCCCUAUGAACCAGGAAGUGCUACAAUUAUCCAGAUGAACCAGGAAGUGUAGCAAUAUUCCUGUGAACCAGGAAGUGCUAAUUAUUCCUAUGAACCAGAGGGUUGCAAAUGUCUUUAUGAACCAGGAAGUGCUACAAUUAUCUGUAUGAACCAGGAAAUGUUACAGUGUCCCUAUAAACCAGGAAGUGCUACAUUUACCCAUAUGAACCAGAAAGUGUGACAAUGUCCCUGCAAACCAGGAAGUUCUACAAUUAUUCAAAGGAACCAGAAAGUGCUAUUAUCCAUAUGAACCAGGAAGUGCUACAGUUAUCCAUAUGAACCAGGAAGUGUGGCAGUGUCACUAUGAACCAGAAAGUAUCACAAUGUCCCUAUGAACCAGGAAGUGCUACAAUUAUCCAGAUGAACCAGGAAAUGUGGCUAUCUCCCUAUGAACCAGGAAGUGAUACAAUUAUCCAUAUGAAUCAGGAGGUGUGGCAAUGUCACUAUGAACCAGAAAGUGUCACAAUUUCCCUAUGAACCAGGAAGUGCUACAAUUAUCUGUAUGAACCAGGAAGUGUUAUAAUGUCCCUAUGAACCAGGAAGUGCCACAGCUAUCUGUAUUAACCUGGAAAUUUUACAGGGUCUCCAUAAACCAGGAAGUGCUGCAAUUAGACAUAUGAACCAGAAACUGUUACAAUGUCCCUACUAACCAGGAAGGUCUAUGAUUAUCCAAAUGAACCAGAAAGUGUUGCAAUGUCCCUGUGAACCAGAAAGUGCUACUAUUAUCCAUAUGAACCAAGAAGUGUGGCAGUGUCGCUAUGAUCCAGAAAGUAUCACAAUGUCCCUAUGAACAAGGAAGUAUGCUACAAUUAUCCAGAUGAACCAGGAAGUGUGGCAAUGUCCCUAUGAACCAGGAAGCAAUACAAUCAUCCAUAUGAAUCAUGAAGUGUGUCAAUGUCACUAUGAAGCAGGAAGUUUCACUAUUUCCCUAUGAACCAGGAAGUCCUACAAUUACUCAGAUGAACCAGGAAGUGUGGCAAUGUCCCUAUGAACCAGGAGGUGAUACAAUUAUCCAUAUGAAUCAGGAAGAGUGGCAAUGCCACUAUGAAGCCGAAAGUGUCACAAUUUCCCUAUGAUCCAGGAAGUGCUACAAUUAUCCAGAUGAACCAGGAAGUGUGGCAAUGUCCCUACGAACCAGGAAAUGCUACAAUUAUUCCUAUGAACCAGAGGGCUGCAAAUGUCUUCAUGAACCAGGAAGUUCUACAAUUAUCCAUAUGAACCAGAAAGUGUUGCAGUGUCACCAUGACCCAGAAAGUGUUACAGUGUCCCUACAAACUAAGAAGUGCUACAAUUAUCCCUAUGAACCAGGAAGUAUUGCAGUGUCCCUGCAAACCAGGAAGUGCUACAAUUAUCUGUAUGAACCAGGACGUGUUACAAUGUCCCUAUGAACCAGGAAGUGCUACAACUAUCCGUACAAACCUUGAAAUGUUACAACGUCCCUGCAAACCAGGAAGUUCUACAAUUAUCCGAAUUAACCAGUAAGUAUUGCAAUGUCCCUGUGAAUCAAAAGUAUUGCAAUGUCCCUGUGACCCAGGAAGUGCUACUAUUAUCUAUAUGAACCAAGAAGUACUACAAUUAUCUGUAUGAAGUACUACAAUGUCCCUAUGAAACAGGAAGUGCUACAAUUAUCCCUAUGAACCAGGAAGUGUUGCAAGAUCCCUGUGAAUCAGGAAGUGUGACAAUUAUCUGUAUGAACCAAAAAGUGUUGCAAUAUCCCUGUGAACUAGGAAGUGCUACAUUUAUCCCUAUGAACCAGGAAGUGUCACAAUGUCCCCGUGAACCAGGAAGUGCUACUAUUACCCAUUUGAACCAGGAAAUGCAACAAUGUGAGCCAGAAAGUGUUGCAGUGUCCCUACGAAUCACAAAGCAUUACAAUCUCCAGAUAAACCAGGAAGUGUUACAGUGUCCCUAUAAAUUAGAAAGUGCUGCAACCUUUCAAUGACCCAGGAAGUUCAUUUACCAUCUCUAGAAAGCAGGAAGUGCUAGGCCGGGCGCGGUGGCUCACGCCUGUAAUCCCAGCACUUUGGGAGGCCAAGGGGGCGGAUCACAAGGUCAGGAGAUCGAGACCACGGUGAAACCCGUCUCUACUAAAAAUACAAAAAAUUAGCCGAGCAGUUGGGGCGCCUGUAGUCCCAGCUACUCGGGAGGCUGAGGCAGGAGAAUGGCGUGAACCCGGGAGGCAGAGCUUGCAGUGAGCCAAGAUCGCCACUGCACUCCAGCCUGGGCUGGGCGACAGAGAGAGACUCCGUCUCAAAAAAAAAAAAAAAAAAAAAA
ensembl:lncRNA